rnacentral:lncRNA from 1 species
UAUAUCUACUCUAUUAGGUCUCUAGUUUGGAUAGUGUAUAACUUGCAAAUUAAAAUCAUACUCCUUCCAAAUUUCUUUCUUUAAAAUAUUAUGGAUGAAAUAGCAAGUAAAGAAUGAAAUUAAAUUGGAUGAAAUGUGUCAAUUUUUUUGGUAAAGUAGUAUGUCUGAAGUUGUCAAACUUAAUGAUAGACCCUUCAGGGGCGGAUCCAGUCAUUUUAAAAAGGGG